rnacentral:rRNA from 1 species
UACGGGGGGGGCAAGCGUUGUUCGGAAUUACUGGGCGUAAAGGGCGCGUAGGCGGUUUGUUAAGUUGGAUGUGAAAACUGUGGGCUCAACCCAUAGCCUGCAUCCAAUACUGACAGGCUAGAGUUCUGGAGGGGAUAGCGGAAUUCCUGGUGUAGCGGUGAAAUGCGUAGAUAUCAGGAGGAACACCGGUGGCGAAGGCGGUUCUCUGGGCAUUACCUGACGCUGAGGAGCGAAAGUGUGGGGAGCGAACAGG